CGGGGUGUAGUAUAAUGGUAACACACCGCGCUGGGGGUGCGGUAUCGGGAGUUCGAUUCUCCCCACCCCGACCA
rnacentral:tRNA from 1 species